rnacentral:antisense_RNA from 1 species
AUCUAUGGCGGACCGUGCGAGGGGGGCUUUCGCCCACCGGUAUUGGUCUGCGAGCCGGUAUUCCACACCUCGUACGGUCCGCCACCCUC